rnacentral:rRNA from 1 species
GCGGCAGGCCUAACACAUGCAAGUCGAGCGGAAGGUUCUUCGGAACCGAGAGCGGCGGACGGGUGAGGAGAGCGUGGGAAUCUGCCUGUAGAUGGGGGAUAGCCCGGAGAAAUCCGGAUUAAUACCGCAUAAUACCUGAGGGUUAAAGUGGAGGAUCGCAAGACUUCACGUCUACAGAUGAGCCCACGUCAGAUUAGCUAGUUGGUAGGGUAAAGGCCUACCAAGGCGACGAUCUGUAGCUGGCCUGAGAGGGUGGCCAGCCACACUGGAACUGAGACACGGUCCAGACUCCUACGGGAGGCAGCAGUGGGGAAUAUUGGACAAUGGGCGCAAGCCUGAUCCAGCCAUGCCGCGUGUGUGAAGAAGGCCUUCGGGUUGUAAAGCACUUUAAGUUGGGAGGAAGGCUCGAUGGAUAAUACCCAUCGGAAUUGACGUUACCAACAGAAUAAGCACCGCUAAUUCCGUGCCAGCAGCCGCGGUAAUACGGAAGGUGCGAGCGUUAAUCGGAAUUACUGGGCGUAAAGCGC